AGUGAACGCUGGCGGUAGGCCUAACACAUGCAAGUCGAACGGCAGCACAGUAAGAGCUUGCUCUUACGGGUGGCGAGUGGCGGACGGGUGAGGAAUACAUCGGAAUCUACUUUUUCGUGGGGGAUAACGUAGGGAAACUUACGCUAAUACCGCAUACGACCUACGGGUGAAAGCAGGGGAUCUUCGGACCUUGCGCGAUUGAAUGAGCCGAUGUCGGAUUAGCUAGUUGGCGGGGUAAAGGCCCACCAAGGCGACGAUCCGUAGCUGGUCUGAGAGGAUGAUCAGCCACACUGAAACUGAGACACGGUCCAGACCCCUACGGGGGGAAGCAGUGGGGAAUAUUGGACAAUGGGCGCAAGCCUGAUCCAGCCAUACCGCGUGGGUGAAGAAGGCCUUCGGGUGGUAAAGCCCUUUUGUUGGGAAAGAAAAGCAGCAGGUUAAUACCCCGCUGUUCGGACGGUACCCAAAGAAUAAGCACCGGCUAACUUCGU
rnacentral:rRNA from 1 species